UUUCGUUGACUGAUGAUAAUUUCUUCAAUCAUCAGUCGUUGGUUGGAAAAUGCAGGAACAAAUGCUGUUCUUUGACAGAACUUUGCACGCUAUGGCCAUUUUGUCGCAUUUCCGAGCGAAAAAUUGGAGAUCUCUCGACGAGUAUCCGGAAUUGCUCGGUCCAGUCGACACGCUCGUGUUUCUGAGGCCGUGAUAUAGGUAUCGUCAUGUAUUUUGAGUUUGAGAAUCCACAGCUGCUACUUAAUUUGAUUU
rnacentral:misc_RNA from 1 species